AGUGAACGCUGGCGGCAGGCCUAAUACAUGCAAGUCGAACGGCAGCACAGCAGAGCUUGCUCUGUGGGUGGCGAGUGGCGGACGGGUGAGGAAUACAUGGGAAUCUGCCCAGUCGUGGGGGAUAACGUAUGGAAACGUACGCUAAUACCGCAUGCGCCCUACGGGGGAAAGCCGGGGACCGAAAGGCCUGGCGCGAUUGGAUGAGCCCAUGUUCGAUUAGCUAGUUGGCGGGGUAAAGGCCCACCAAGGCGACGAUCGAUAGCUGGUCUGAGAGGAUGAUCAGCCACACUGGAACUGAGACACGGUCCAGACUCCUACGGGAGGCAGCAGUAGGGAAUAUUGGACAAUGGGGGCAACCCUGAUCCAGCCAUGCCGCGUGAGUGAAGAAGGCCCUCGGGUUGUAAAGCUCUUUUGUCCGGAAAGAAAAGCAUUCGGUUAAUACCCGGGUGUUCUGACGGUACCGGAAGAAUAAGCACCGGCUAACUUCG
rnacentral:rRNA from 1 species